CUCUAAACCCUAAAACCUAAACUCUAAACCCUAAAUUCUAAACCCUAAACCCCACCCCUUGAGUGCUAUUUUUGUGACUUUUGGCCUUGAGUGCUAGUUUGGGAACAAAAACUUGAGUUAGUGCUAUUUUGGUAUUUUUCUCAUAUUAAAAUGUAAAACUAUAUUUAAUGCCACGUGUCAUCUUUCGGGAGAAAUUUUUUCCGGUGAUGUGGACACCCUAUAGAGCCUCAAAAGCUCCCUUUUAUUAGUAGAGAUUUUUUAAAGGAGGAAACUUGUCAAGAUAGCUUGCUAUCUGAGUUUCCAAGAGUUGUCCAUGUGUUGCACUACUGCAUGGGAUUAGGCUCAACCCGCCAAUUCACUAGUUCAACUCGGAUGUCUUGGCCUAUGUGGUCACAAAUGGUUUUGCUAAUGAAUGCAAGACUAUUUGACAGAAUUUCAUAAAUCGUCGAUGUAAAUAAGCAUGUCAUUAAUAGCUCCACUCCUUUGAUUUUAUCUCCGUGAUUAUUUCCAUCCUAGAAAUCUAGGAUAUAGAUAUAGCUUACAUGAAUGCUCUAAAGCUGUAUGUAUCGGUCUUUGUAUUCGAAAUAAAACCAUACUUCUCCCAGAAAGUGUAGCCUGUUUUUCAUUACCAGCCAUUGUAGGAAGGAGAACUUAGGAAUUGCAUGAGCAAACCAAGAGGUUAUUGGAUAGAAUGAUCUGAUUUGGUUCCUAUUGUCUUUUGAGGAGAAAUUGUCCUUUGAAUUUGUCUCCAUGCUUUUUCCUAAGUGAAAUGUCUGGUUCUCCUUGCAAUGCUCUGCUUUUCACCCUUUUGAUCUCAUCCUCUAUCUCAGUUAAUACCGCAACUCGAUGUCGUCUUCGACGACGCCUCUCAGAAACCUCAGCCACAGUCAUUGCAUCACCAAUUCCCAAAUCAACCACGCCCCGAUCACCCAAAAGUUUUAUAGGCAGCCAUAUUUCGACCAAGAGUCUUACCAGAAGGACAUCCCUCUGCCGCUUCUCAUCUCUACCCGAUUGUCUUUUACUCAAUUCUUUUAAGUUAGAUAGUUAGAGUGUUGAUUUGAGUAGUAACGCAUGCUUGUUAUAUAGCUCAAGUCGUAUAAACUAUAGACAGCUUCUUUUGAAUAGCAAAUGGAACAAAAAAAAUAUAAUUAACGGUUGAGGAUAAGUAGCAGAUGGUACAGGUAAAGUUUCUUCCAUUGUGUUCUUAUUUUCAACUAAACAAGAUUCAGCGAGAAGAGAUAAGAAAAUAAAAUGCUUAGGUCAAAAGGAAAUGCAACAACGCUCCAAUGAAAGAAACAUUUAUAACUUGUGAGACCUACUUGGCAUUGGCGGCGAAAGUAGCAGCCUGACAAUGGAGGAUGCAGGGUUAUACUGUUUAUUUUGCAACAAGUCUAUUUGAUCUCAAACUAUACCUGAAAGUCUGAAACUGCUUUGAUGUAUGAAUCUUGACACAAGCGGGAAAUGUUGGUUUUUGUUCCAUAUAUACAUUUAGAUGUUAGUAUGAUGAUUGCUAUGAGAGGUACGUUGUUACACCUCUAAACAUAUAACUUGAAGACAAAUUUAGCUUGUGUUGUGACUGCUUCUGAGAAAAUGUCUUAUUGAUGCAUAGAAAGUCUACGGUUCUCUUUACGCUCAUGAGAAUAACGUGAAAAUGGUGUAGUCAAGGGAUUCUAAUGGAAUACAAGAAAAUAACAACAUCUUUAGAGA